rnacentral:rRNA from 1 species
CGUCGAGCGGCGGACGGGUGAGUAAUACUUAGGAAUCUACCUAGUAGUGGGGGAUAGCACGGGGAAACUCGUAUUAAUACCGCAUACGACCUACGGGAGAAAGGGGGCAGUUUACUGCUCUCGCUAUUAGAUGAGCCUAAGUCGGAUUAGCUAGAUGGUGGGGUAAAGGCCUACCAUGGCGACGAUCUGUAGCUGGUCUGAGAGGAUGAUCAGCCACACCGGGACUGAGACACGGCCCGGACUCCUACGGGAGGCAGCAGUGGGGAAUAUUGGACAAUGGGGGAAACCCUGAUCCAGCCAUGCCGCGUGUGUGAAGAAGGCCUUUUGGUUGUAAAGCACUUUAAGCAGUGAAGAAGACUCCUCGGUUAAUACCCGUGGACGAUGACAUUAGCUGCAGAAUAAGCACCGGCUAACUCUGUGCCAGCAGCCGCGGUAAUACAGAGGGUGCAAGCGUUAAUCGGAAUUACUGGGCGUAAAGGGAGCGUAGGUGGCUCGAUAAGUCAGAUGUGAAAUCCCCGGGCUCAACCUGGGAACUGCAUCUGAUACUGUUGAGCUAGAGUAUGUGAGAGGAAGGUAGAAUUCCAGGUGUAGCGGUGAAAUGCGUAGAGAUCUGGAGGAAUACCGAUGGCGAAGGCAGCCUUCUGGCAUAAUACUGACACUGAGGCUCGAAAGCGUGGGUAGCAAACAGGAUUAGAUACCCUGGUAGUCCACGCCGUAAACGAUGUCUACUAGUCGUUGGGUCCCUUGAGGACUUAGUGACGCAGCUAACGCAAUAAGUAGACCGCCUGGGGAGUACGGCCGCAAGGUUAAAACUCAAAUGAAUUGACGGGGGCCCGCACAAGCGGUGGAGCAUGUGGUUUAAUUCGAUGCAACGCGAAGAACCUUACCUGGUCUUGACAUAUCUAGAAUCCUGCAGAGAUGCGGGAGUGCCUUCGGGAAUUAGAAUACAGGUGCUGCAUGGCUGUCGUCAGCUCGUGUCGUGAGAUGUUGGGUUAAGUCCCGCAACGAGCGCAACCCUUGUCCUUAGUUACCAGCGGGUUAAGCCGGGAACUCUAAGGAUACUGCCAGUGACAAACUGGAGGAAGGCGGGGACGACGUCAAGUCAUCAUGGCCCUUACGACCAGGGCUACACACGUGCUACAAUGGUAGGUACAGAGGGCAGCUACACAGCGAUGUGAUGCGAAUCUCAAAAAGCCUAUCGUAGUCCAGAUUGGAGUCUGCAACUCGACUCCAUGAAGUAGGAAUCGCUAGUAAUCGCGGAUCAGAAUG